AUCCCAGUGACCCACCUGAGAUUACAUGCAUGAGCAGUGAAAUUUCCAGUGUGUUUCUGGCUUUCUUCACAAGGCCUGGGAUUCUUCUCUCCUUUGCCUGAAGUCUUUCCCUAGUUGUGGUGCGAGCUUUGUUCUAUAGCACAUGGCAACUAGGAAGUGUGAGAUCAUGAAUAUUCUCAUAGGAAAUUCUUGUCCAGUGGGGAAAGUGGUCUUAAAGAAAUGCUUCAUCCCUUUCUCAGGUGGAAUGAUUCAGGAUGCAUGUUUCAUGUCAUCUCUCUGAGUGUACCCAAAAGACUAGAACUCCAUAAAAGUAACCUGCUUAUUGAUGCUCUCUCAUUUAUUUAUUUUUUUUCUUUCUUUCUUUUCCCAUUUUAAAAUUUGUGCUUCUAAGAUCACUAUUUAAAAUCAUCCCCUUGUGUAAGCAUUUGUUUUGGGGGCUACCAAUACAAAGACAUCUCUCAAUAUUUAUUCUUACCUACUCUAUCACAGAAUAAGAAGCCUUGAGUUUGGGCUGUGCCAUGGCUUUUCACAAUGAUUUCUCUGCUCUUUUUGCAGCCGUAGAUGAUCAUGUAACCAAUCUUUAUUAAGUAGAAUAUGGGUAGAAAUUUUUGUGCCCUUAAAUAAUAGGAAUAUCUUGUCAUCUAUCCUUUUCUCUUUUCACUCGAUAGAGGUAAGCCAUCUUGGCCAUAUAGAAGAAGGUUUACUGCUUUUGCAAAUUUGGGAACGACAACAGAAACCUGGAUACCACAGACCAGAGAGCCUCUGUAGCAGAGUACAACGCUUGUAUUUAAGAAGGAAGCCAUUGAAACAAUUGAAGAUCCAAGUGACUUCAAGAAAAAUGACUAUGCCAAUGGGAAUUUCGCAGAGUUUGCAGCAACAGAACAAGUGAAAUUUCUCCAGUCAUGCUUUUUUUAAUGCAGCCAUUACAUUGCUUGAUAUUGUUUGAUUGUUGAAAUUGCCUGCAGAAAUGACAUAUGUUAACUUUGGAGAUCAGAAAAGUGCCAAGAAUUGGAUGCUCCAGUCUAAUAACAGGUACAAAACAAGAUAUCAAUGUACAUCAUUUUAACACUAGUGUGGGAUUUAUAGGUGAG
rnacentral:lncRNA from 12 species